rnacentral:rRNA from 1 species
UACAGAGGGUGCGAGCGUUAAUCGGAAUUACUGGGCGUAAAGCGUGCGUAGACGGUUAUUUAAGUCGGAUGUGAAAGCCCCGGGCUCAACCUGGGAAUUGCAUUCGAGACUGAAUAGCUAGGGUGCGGUAGAGGGAAGCGGAAUUUCCGGUGUAGCGGUGAAAUGCGUAGAUAUCGGAAGGAACAUCAGUGGCGAAGGCGGCUCACUGGUCCGGUACUGACGCUGAGGUGCGAAAGCGUGGGUAGCAAACAGG